AAAAAUAACAGCCAUGAUGGAGUAGCAGACAGUCCAGCAUCCCAGGCAAGACAUUAUAAGAGUUUACAGGCUCUCUGGAGGAAGCCCAAUGCCAACAAAGAGUCUGUCACUCAACUGCUUGACUUGGAAUUUGAGGCUAGAAGGGCUUUCAUCGACUCAGAUGUAGUAAAGCAAGAUGAGCGACAUGUCAAAAUAAUGGAAGCCUAUCCUUGUUUUAGAGAAAUUGAACAUUUGAUGGAUGAGCUCCGGCGGAUUCUGCAGAGAGAUAACAUGGAUUUCAUAAGCGAAGUUAAAGAGAGAUGGGUAGAGUUCUGCAAACAAGUACAAUUCUACGGGGUGUUCAAGAAGGUUUUGAAAUCCCCAGUGGGGAUGAGCAAAGCUGAGCAAGCAAUCGAACUCAUGCACGCUUUGCCAGCGAUGUUUCCUAGUGCAUCACCACCUCCGAAGAAGAUGCGAGAUGCUAGUGAGGCGUUCAUUCAUGUUCUGAAGGAAAAAGAAGAUCCUGAAUCUUUCUUAAAAAAACGGCAUCUGUCCUGUCCUCUGCUGCUUGUGAGCGCUACCAACUGCAUCCUGGCGGUGGGGGACAAUCCAAUUGCAGAAUUCCAUAACGAUGAUCUCCAUGAGGGUAUGCUGUACAUAAUUGCUCUCUACUAUGCCCUUCACCUGACAUAUCCGAAGUGUGUCAGUACAUUGCUGUCGAUCAUACAGAGUGAGGUGCUAGGUGAUGCACUCCACCCACAAGACCAAACAAGCUCUUUUAAAAAGGGAUUAAGCGAGAUGAGGGCAUUUGUAGGGAACUAAUGCUCAUUGAUUGAAUGCUGGCAAAUUGUUUUAUUAUGUAUGCUGUUGUUUUUACACAUUCAAAUCUUAAAGUGUUACUCCGGCGUUCUGCGACCUAUAGCCAACAUAGACUGAAAUACGACAACAUAGACUGAAUAAUGGCCCAGCCGCUAAAGCUAACCCAGUGGGGCAUUUUCUGUUCAGUGGCAAGAAUGCGGUCAUGUCUCUUGGUGCACUCAGGCAAACUGAUAUGUUUUUAUUUCAUUUUUUACAAAUACUGGUAUGUAAACCACCUUUAUGCUGCCAUGUUUAAUUAUUGUGGUGAUUGUCAUGUGGCUGCAAUAAAUUUUGUCUGAG
ensembl:lncRNA